rnacentral:lncRNA from 1 species
AGCAAAUUGGUCCCAGUUUUCACCCUGCCGCAGGGCUGGCUGGGGAGGGCAGCGGUUUAGAUUAGCCGUGGCCUAGGCCGUUUGACGGGGUGACACGAGCCUGCAGGGCCGAGUCCAAGGCCCGGAGAUAGGACCAACCGUCAGGAAUGCGAGGAAUGUUUUUCUUCGGACUCUAUCGAGGCACACAGACAGACCAUGGGGAUUCUGUCUACAGUGACAGCCUUAACAUUUGCCAGAGCCCUGGACGGCUGCAGAAAUGGCAUUGCCCACCCUGCAAGUGAGAAGGUAACGUUUAUUUUUGUAUUUUUUUCUCUGUCUCCCAUAUACAGACUGUAGAAAGACCACCAAGAGCGGACCAUUUUUUUUUUUUCCCACCAUGAUGUACAAUUCACAUUUGUUAAUAAAAAAAAAGUGCCCGAGGUCAUCCACCUAGACUUUUUUUUUCUUAAACAGGAAACGGGUUUCAGAUGUUUAUAUGUUGAAAAGUAAGGCUACUAAUCCGUUUAGCCAUUUCACAGGCCCUGGCUCACUCUCUCGUACCUUUUCAUGUUCAGACCCCAUAGAACGACAUUAAUUUUUAUCCCUCUUGUUAUUUAGAAUUAAAAAAAAAAGACAAAAACAGAAAAACACUUUCAAUAGCCACCUGCUUUUUUGGGACAGCUCCAGUGGAGGUUAAAAUAAAUGAAUCCGCUGGUUUCAUUCAAUUGUGCUCUUAGCUGCGAGGGUGCUGUGCGGUGGGUUUGAGUGUUCAACACUCUUCAGCAAUUCCUUAAAAUAGAGCGUGGUCUCGUGUAUUUUCGUGUGUCUGUAUCCACAAGCGGAUCUCCGUUGAAGCAACAUAUUUAGAUGAACACUUAAGGUUCACAAACGCACAUACUUAUUCCGUCUAUAGCAAGGGUGGGAAUUGGUCUCUUCCGUACUUUUCUUUCAUUUUUCUGGGGGGUCAGUGUGAUGUUUUCCACGUUUCUUCUUGAUGUUCGGCUGUGCCAGGUAACAGAGAAAAGGCAUUUCCCAGGGAGCCGAUGAU